UACGUAGGGGGCAAGCGUUGUCCGGAUUUAUUGGGCGUAAAGAGCGUGUAGGCGGUCAGGUAGGUCCGUUGUGAAAACUCGAGGCUCAACCUCGAGCUGUCGGCGGAAACUGCUUGGCUAGAGUCCGGAAGAGGAGAGUGGAAUUCCUGGUGUAGCGGUGAAAUGCGCAGAUAUCAGGAAGAACACCUAUGGCGAAGGCAGCUCUCUGGGACGGUACUGACGCUGAGACGCGAAAGCGUGGGGAGCGAACAGG
rnacentral:rRNA from 1 species